rnacentral:misc_RNA from 1 species
UGGGCAUUGAACCAUAUGAUUUUCAACAUAAAAUCCAGGUUCUUGAUCUGCAUUACAUGUCGGACAUACAAGAUCUCCUCGUCCUCCACAGACUGAACACUUCUCGACGGUUUCCGAAUGAGGAAUCCUUUUCCUUGAUUCUUUAGAAGGUACAAAAAGAAGUGGGAACUCAGAUUUCAAAUCCAAUUCCCAGAUUCCAAGUUCAGG